UACGGGGGGAGCAAGCGUUGUUCGGAUUUACUGGGCGUAAAGGGCGCGUAGGCGGUCAGCACAAGUCAGUUGUGAAAUCUCCGGGCUUAACUCGGAAAGGUCAACUGAUACUGUGCGACUAGAGUGCGGAAGGGGCAACUGGAAUUCUCGGUGUAGCGGUGAAAUGCGUAGAUAUCGAGAGGAACACCUGCGGCGAAGGCGGCGCUCUGGGCCGGAACUGACGCUGAGGAGCGAAAGCGUGGGUAGCAAACAGG
rnacentral:rRNA from 1 species